rnacentral:rRNA from 1 species
AUUGAACGCUGGCGGCAUGCCUUACACAUGCAAGUCGAACGGCAGCAUAGGAGCUUGCUCCUGAUGGCGAGUGGCGAACGGGUGAGUAAUAUAUCGGAACGUGCCCUAGAGUGGGGGAUAACUAGUCGAAAGAUUAGCUAAUACCGCAUACGAUCUACGGAUGAAAGUGGGGGAUCGCAAGACCUCAUGCUCCUGGAGCGGCCGAUAUCUGAUUAGCUAGUUGGUGAGGUAAAAGCUCACCAAGGCGACGAUCAGUAGCUGGUCUGAGAGGACGACAAGCCCGACUGGGACUGAGACACGGCCCAGACUCCUACGGGAGGCAGCAGUGGGGAAUUUUGGACAAUGGGGGCAACCCGGAUCCAGCAAUGCCGCGUGAGUGAAGAAGGCCUUCGGGUUUUAAAGCUCUUUUGUCAGGGAAGAAACGGUUGAGGCUAAUAUCCUCGGCUAAUGACGGUACCUGAAGAAUAAGCACCGGCUAACUACGUGCCAGCCGCCGCCGUAA